AUUAUCUCUUUGUCUAAAACGUAUAAAGACUUUGGUCCUUGUUAGGUCUCAAUUGCAUAAUUGGGCCUCCAUGGCUCAUGUAAUAAAAACUUUGGUUUAUUUUCUCCUGUUAAUCUAUGUCCUAUAAAUUUAAUUCUUAGCCCAGCUAGAAGAACCCCGGACCAACGAAAAUUUCUUCCUCCCCUUCACCUGACACAGUCAGCAAGAUAAACUUCCACUGGACAUUUGCUCUGAAGAUUCUGCAGCUUUGAACUCUGGGAACUAAGACAUAAAACCAGAAGGUAUAAAUAAGCUUUGCCUGGAGACGUGUGUCAGCCAAGGCAAGACAACACCAAAACAGGAUCUAUCAACCAAAGAGUCUAACAACAUCAGUCAACACGAUCCGACCAAGAGAUUUACACAGCUUCUUUUGCAGGUGUUCUUUGCCUGGUCUAUACCUAUGAAAGCAGCUCAGUGAUGAACCACGGAUGAAUUGUAAGAGAAGGAGGAAUGUGGGGCUAGUCUCUAGCCUGAGUCUAAAUAUGAGUCUGUACCUUCAACGGAGAUCUCCCAGCAGCCCUACAGCUGGGAUGCAGCCCAUGAUGGCCCUGCUCUGUGUGCUCAGAAGUCAGGUCCAGCCCCCUGGAACACAACCACACACACAGAAAGCUGCCGUGACACAGCCAACACGAGGAGGAUCUGUUCAUGAGCCCAGCAGACUGAACAGAAACUCUCAUGAUUGAGACAGAAAAGGAAUACACACGACCAGACGAUUAAAAAGCCAAUCAAGUACCUGCAUGUUAAAGACUUCAUCAGAGCUUUCUGAUUGCCCUGUAAUAUUGCUUACUUCAGCAGAAGCUUGUGAGGACAGUGAGGAGGAAGAAUAUCGGUUGACAGCUGGGUAACUUAAUGGGCUGUUUUGGGGGAAAAAAAAUGGUCAUUAACUCAGUCUCUGAAUUGUACAUUAAUCGCAUGCUGGUGUGGUAUAAAACCAAAGGAAAAAAAAUAUACAUCCCAUUUUGUUGUCUCCUGUUUGCCUCAAUAUAAUCAAAUGUUUGAGUUUAUUUAUUUCUCAUGCUGUUGCUGUUUUACCAGUGACAGAUGUCUGCAGCUGCCUUGCGGGUUAAUUAUUUCAUUAAGAAAUAGCGUAUUUGACAAAUUGUGCCAUAAAAAAUGAGAGAAUCAUUCCAGAUCAUCUUGUGGGGAUGCCAAAUUGUAAGAUAAUUCAGAAUAUGACUUACCUGCGUCUAGGAAUUACCCUGGUACCAUCUGGGCUCAUGGAAGCAGGGGCUGAGUUUCUACACACGCGGGGGCUUCCAUUAGGAAAAUGGACUGGACUGGCUUGAAUACAAGCAGAGAACUCCUAGAGAGGGAGGGAAGGAAAUAUUUUAGAUGAGCCAUCGUAGGGGCAAAAUAACUUGUAAGGUAUUUCAGCAUAUUGUUAUGAAAUCUUUAUGUAAGUUUAAAAAAGUUAAGUUUUGGUAUUAUUAAGCUUUCUCGCCCUUUUUUGUUCUCAUAAAAGUUGAACAGGGCAAAUAGAAGAUGAUGCAAAAUUUUAAUACUGGAGGACUCCAUGGUAAGAUGGUGCAGUUUGGUAGAAAAACCAAAAGAUGUCACUAUUGGAUACAUCGUGUUCCCUCUAACAAAAAGCAAACCGGCAGUGGUCAGACUGCCCCCUAUGGACACUUAGGGUACGUACCUGAAUCCCUAAACUUGACUUCAUCACAAAGAACUGGUCGACCAGCUUUUUGUGUAAGGGUCUCAUAUCUUGAGGUACAAACUUCUCAUGCACGGCCAAACCAAAUUCCAAAAUCUGUGCCUUGAGAAUGAGACAAGGAAAAAACCCACAUCAAUGAGGGACUCCACCAAGUGCCUGCUAGGGGUCAAGCAUUGUACCAGGCACUCUGUAUCUGCUAUAGCUAAUCCUCUCUAGCACACAGAGGAGCAAUCCUUCAUUUACAGGUGCGGAUCAGAACAAUCCAGCAUGUACUAACAGACAAAUGGGGAUUCAAACUGAAGUCUUUUUGAUUUUCCUGCUACCCAAAGUUUCUUUGCAGUAUAUAUAUUUUUUUAAAUAAAGAUUUUAUUUAUUUAUUUAUUUGAUAGACAGAGAUCACAAGUAGGCAGAGAGGCAGGCAGAGAGAGAGGAAGGGAAGCAGGCUCCCUGCCAAGCAGAGAGCCCGAUGCAGGGCUCGAUCCCAGGACCCUGAGAUCAUGACCUGAGCCGAAGGCAGAGGCUUUAACCCGCUGAGCCACCCAGGCGCCCCUGCAGUAUAUUUUAGAUCUGGAAUAACAACCCUUUAUUUUUUUUUUUUCCAGUUUAUUUUUUUAAUUUUUUAUUUCUUUUCAGCGUAACAGUAUUCAUUGUUUUUUACACCACACACAGUGCUCCAUGCAAUCCGUGCCCUCCCUAAUACCCACCACCUGGUUCCCCCAAUCUCCCACCCCUCGCCCCCUCAAAACCCUCAGGUUGUUUUUCAGAGUCCAUUGUCUCUCAUGAUUCACCUCCCCUUCCAAUUUCCCUCAACUCCCUUCUCCUCUCCAUCUCCCCUUGUCCUCCAUGCUAUUUGUUACGCUCCACAAAUAAGUGAAACCAUAUGAUAAUUGACUCUCUCUGCUUGACUUAUUUCACUCAGCAUAAUCUCCUCCAGUCCCGUCCAUGUUGCUACAAAAGUUGGGUAUUCAUCCUUUCUGAUGGAGGCAUAAUACUCCAUAGUGUAUAUGGACCACAUCUUCUUUAUCUAUUUCGUCCGUUGAAGGGCAUCUUGGUUCUUUCCACAGUUUGGCGACCGUGGCCAUUGCUGCUAUAAACACUGGGGUACAGAUGGCCCUUCUUUUCACUACAUCUGUAUCUUUGGGGUAAACACCCAGUAGUGCAAUGGCAGGGUCAUAGGGAAGCUCUAUUUUUAAUUUCUUGAGGAAUCUCCACACUGCUCUCCCUUCUAAGCACUUCUGUGUCACUUGGCCCCCGUCUACAUUGCACAGGACUGGGAAGGAGUUGCUCCCCAAGGGAUCUCUUCUCUGGAUGACACUCCCUUUUCCACGAUACUCUUUUCUCUUCCAUCAGGUUCUGCUGUGCCUAUCCAUCUCCCCCCCACUGCCUCCCAGCUCAAGAUUUCCAAAAUUUGUUGAGGAAGACAUGCAGGUUGGGUUCUCCCAGGAGUAGACCCUGGCAUGGAGAUGAGGAUGUUUAUUGAGGAGUCACCUGGCAUCACUGUUUGCAUGAAGGAGGCACAGAAGCAGGACUGACUAAAAAGAAUCUGGGAACAUGGCAGUCAUGUCAAGCCUCUGCCCACACCAGGGGAUCUCUGGGCCUCAACCGGGCUGUGAGAGUUGUGCUGUGUUGGGCCCAGUUGUGCUGUGUUGGGUGACCCCACCUCAAAGACCAUGUAUGAACUAGCUCUGUAAACUGUAGAGUGCUCUAGAGAUGUAAGCCAUUAUAGUACCAGUAUCACUCCUUGGCUUCUCUCCACAUCCUCUAAGGUGGAUGGUCCUUUGGUUCUACAGCGUUUGUUAUCUCAUUUUGUCCAUAUCCUAUCAUUGAUAGGCUUAGUCUUUGUUUUAAAGCAAAGCCUCUGCCCACACCAGGGGAUCUCUGGGCCUCAACCGGGCUGUGAGAGUUGUGCUGUGUUGGGCCCAGAUGGCCGGGCUGUUUCUUUCUCAGUCACUGGAUGUGGGACCGCCAGGAAGGUGGUGAUGCUGGGCCAGGUGGCAUUCAGCAGCUGAGGCAAUGGCUGAAGGACCAGAGCACCUACAGUGUCUGUUGAUGGCCACCACUCCCAGCAGCUGGCUCAACAAGUCCUUUCUGGAAGAGUCACUGGGGCAGAGCAUCUCCGAGGCCCCCAGGUAGUUUAUCUGAAUCACCUCACAGAGGUCCAGCCUAGGACGGUGGCCUUGGCUAGCCUAAUCCCCCACUGCUAUGGUCUCAAAGAGAUGGUGUGAUCGCCCAAAGUCACAUGGCAGUCACUUGUACCGCUUAUCCUAUGACAGAGAUCUAAAGUCUCCUAUACCGGGGCAUCUGGGUGGCUCAGUGGUUUAAGGCCUCUGCCUUCUGCUCAGGUCAGGAUCCCAGGGUCCUGGGAUCGAGCCCCACAUCGGGCUCUCUGCUCAGCGGGGAGCCUGCUUCCUCCUCUCUCUCUCUCUCUCUGCCUGCCUCUCUGCCCACUUGUGAUG